rnacentral:rRNA from 1 species
GACGAACGCUGGCGGCGUGCUUAACACAUGCAAGUCGAACGGAAAGGCCCUGCUUUUGUGGGGUGCUCGAGUGGCGAACGGGUGAGUAACACGUGAGUAACCUGCCCUUGACUUUGGGAUAACUUCAGGAAACUGGGGCUAAUACCUGAUAGGAGCUCCUUCUGCAUGGUGGGGGUUGGAAAGUUUCGGCGGUUGGGGAUGGACUCGCGGCUUAUCAGCUUGUUGGUGGGGUAGUGGCUUACCAAGGCUUUGACGGGUAGCCGGCCUGAGAGGGUGACCGGCCACAUUGGGACUGAGAUACGGCCCAGACUCCUACGGGAGGCAGCAGUGGGGAAUAUUGCAAAAUGGGCGGAAGCCUGAUGCAGCAACGCCGCGUGCGGGAUGACGGCCUUCGGGUUGUAAACCGCUUUCGCCUGUGACGAAGAGUGAGUGACGGUAAUGGGUAAAGAAGCACCGGCUAACUACGUG